GAAAAACCUGUGCUGUCCUUCGUCUAUCAAUCCGACAGAUAAUUUAUAUUGUCUUCAAAUUGUGGAAAAUUGUAGACGUAAAAAGACAUAACAUAAGGCGAAGUAUUAACCUUUGCGGGACACCGGCGGGAAAUGUCUUGAUAUUGAAGGACCAAGACUAAAAGCAGCAGAAUAACUUAUGGAUUAAAAGAAGUUGAUGUUUGUCGAGAAAUAGAUGAAAAUUGUAAAAUUUUAUAGCUUUAGUCUAGCUUUAGAUUUGUUGUAAAGUUGGUCCUAAGAACAGAAGUUUCAGUGAAUCUAGUUUGAUGAAAGAAUUAGGAGUGUAUAGUUUAACAUUAGAAAGUUUUUAGACUUUAAAGUCUUAAUCAAUGUCUUUCAAAGGCCUUUGGCUUAAAGUCUGGUCAGGAGUCACGUAAGGAUUAUGUUAAUUUUAUUAAUAGUUAAAUGUUGAGUUAAACUUCUUUUCCUAUCUAUUGUUAAUUUCAAUUCACCACUUCCGGGCAGAACGCAGGUUUAGAAUCUCGUCUGAAUGAUAAUGAGGAAGAGCGGUAUUUUACCGCGAAGUUCUUCUGUCUUAGAGAGAUACCAGAUAUUCUGGCUGCAUGCGUCCGCCUUUUUAGGCAACUCUCUCGUAAGCCAUUAUUACGCUCGACCGUCCGUACAUUAGGCCUUUGAUAGUUUCGCAGAGUAUUAGCGUUAAGGGACCAACUCUUUUAGAAUUUUGAUAGCUUCGUCUAUAUUUCUUAGUUACAAUUAGUUUAGUUUACUUCUUAGUUCAAGCCCGAGUGUCGGCUUUAUUGUACAACUCCAAGACGGAAUUUUGUUAAACUUUAGUUGGAGUAAUAAAGGAAUAAUAUAAUGAA